CGCCCUUAGAGUUUGAUCAUGGCUCAGAUUGAACGCUGGCGGCAUGCCUUACACAUGCAAGUCGAACGGCAAUCCAGCUUGCUAGAUGCGAGUGGCGAACGGGUGAGUAAUACAUCGGAACGUGCCCUGUAGUGGGGGAUAACUAGUCGAAAGAUUAGCUAAUACCGCAUACGACCUGAGGGUGAAAGUGGGCAAUCAUGCUAUAGGAGCGGCCGAUGUCUGAUUAGCUAGUUGGUGAGGUAAAGGCUCACCAAGGCGACGAUCAGUAGCUGGUCUGAGAGGACGAUCAGCCACACUGGGACUGAGACACGGCCCAGACUCCUACGGGAGGCAGCAGUGGGGAAUUUUGGACAAUGGGGGCAACCCUGAUCCAGCAAUGCCGCGUGUGUGAAGAAGGCCUUCGGGUUGUAAAGCACUUUUGUCCGGAAAGAAAUCGCACUUUAAUAGGUGUGGAUGACGGUACCGGAAGAAUAAGGACCGGCUAACUACGUGCCAGCAGCCGCGGUAAUACGUAGGGUCCAAGCGUUAAUCGGAAUUACUGGGCGUAAAGCGUGCGCAGGCGGUUGUGCAAGACCGAUGUGAAAUCCCCGGGCUUAACCUGGGAAUUGCAUUGGUGACUGCACGGCUAGAGUGUGUCAGAGGGGGGUAGAAUUCCACGUGUAGCAGUGAAAUGCGUAGAGAUGUGGAGGAUACCGAUGGCGAAGGCAGCCCCCUGGGAUACACUGACGCUCAUGCACGAAAGCGUGGGGAGCAAACAG
rnacentral:rRNA from 1 species